rnacentral:rRNA from 1 species
CCUACGGGUGGCAGCAGUGAGGAAUAUUGGUCAAUGGACGAGAGUCUGAACCAGCCAAGUCGCGUGAAGGAUGAAUGCCCUAUGGUUUGUAAACUUCUUUUAUAUGGGAAUAAAGUGUUCCACGUGUGGAAUUUUGUAUGUACCAUAUGAAUAAGGAUCGGCUAACUCCGUGCCAGCAGCCGCGGUAAUACGGAGGAUGCGAGCGUUAUCCGGAUUUAUUGGGUUUAAAGGGAGCGUAGGUGGAUUGUUAAGUCAGUUGUGAAAGUUUGUGGCUCAACCGUAAAAUUGCAGUUGAAACUGGCAGUCUUGAGUGCAGGAGAGGUAGGCGGAAUUCGUGGUGUAGCGGUGAAAUGCUUAGAUAUCACGAAGAACUCCGAUUGCGAAGGCAGUUCACUGGACUGUAACUGACACUGAGGCUCGAAAGCGUGGGUAUCAAACAGGAUUAGAUACCCGAGUAGUC